rnacentral:tRNA from 1 species
GACCGCGUAGCUCAGUUGGAAGAGCAUUGGGCUAGUAUUCCAAAGGUUGUAGGUUCGAAUCCCACCGUCGCCG